CCGCUACCAUGUUCCUGGAGCCUUCUCUUCUCCAGACUGAACAGCCCCAGCUCUCUUAGCCUGUCCUUGUAGGAGAGGUGUUCCAUCCCUUGCAUCAUUUCUGUGGCCCUCCUCUGCAUGCUCUGCAACAGGUCUGUAUCUCUCCUGCACUGAGGACUCCACAUCUGGACACAGUACUCCAGGUGAGGCCUCACCAGCACAGAGUAGAGAGACAGGAUCACCUCCCUUGACCUGCUGGCCACGCUUCUUUUGAUGCAGCCUGAGAUAUGAUUGGCUUUCUGGGCUGUGAGGGCACAUUGCUGGCUAGCAUCCAGCUUGCCAUCCACCAGUAUCACCAACUCCUUUUUGGCAGAGCUGCGCUCAAUCCUUCCACCCUCCAGCUUGUUUUGGUAGUGGGGGUUGCUGCGAUCCAUGUGCAAGACCUUGCUCUUGGCUUUGUUGAACCUCAUGAGGUUCUCCUGGGCCUACUGCUCAAGCCUAUGUAGGUCCUUCUGGAUGGCAUUGCAUCCCUCAGGCAUGUCCACUACACCCCACAGCUUAGUGGCAUCCACAAACUUGCUGAGGGUGCACUAAAUCUCACUGUCAUAUCGUUGAUGAAGAUAUCAAGGAGUACUGGCCUCAGCUCUGACCCGUGGGGGACACCACUCAUCAGUGAUCUCUACCCAGACAUUGAGCCAUUAACCACCACUCUCUGGGUUCAGUCCUGCAGCCAGCUCUUUGUCCAUGAACAGUCCACCCAUCAAAUACAUAUCUUUUCAGUUUGGAGAGAAGUGUGUUGUUGUGUGAUACCAUGAUAAAGGCCUUACCGAAGUCCAGAUAGUGCCUGAGCAUAGCUUCCAGGAGGAUCUGCUCCACAAUCUUUCCCAGCACAGAGUCACCAAGGACUUCACCUGUUUGUCUCAACUAUCAUUGAGAGUGGCUUGGCGACUACAUCAGCUAAUUCCCUCAGGACUCUGGGAUGCAUCUCAUCAGGACCCAUAGACUUGUGGAUGUUCAGGUUCUUCAGGUGGUCACAAAUCAGAUCUCCGCUCACAGUAGGAGGGACGUCGCUUUCUUAAUCACCUCCUUCUGAACCAUUUGUUUGAGGGCUGUGUGAUGAGCAGUUACCAGGGAAGACCGAGGCAAAAAAGUUGUUAAGUACCUCAGCUUUCUCCUUGUCUGUUGUUACCAGCUUGCCCAUGUCACUCACAAGGGCGAGCACCCUCUUGGGUUUUUCCUUUUCUGGUUGAGGUACCUGUAGAAACCACUCUUCUUAUUCUUGGCACCCCUUGCCAAGUUCAGUUCAAGCUGGACCUUGGCUUUUCUGACCCCAUCCCUACACAGCCUAGCAGCUCCCUUAUGUUCUUCCCGCAACACCUGUGUUUCCACUGCCUAUGCACUUCCUUCUUGCUCUUCAAGAGCAAGAUAUCUGUCCAAGAUAUCAAAUGCUUUUCAACAGAGUUCAGAUUUUACCAUUCUGGAGUGUCAUUCAAUGAAAUAUGUUUGCUUUACAGCCAGGUUUUUAGCAGUGUCUCCAUGUAAUACUUAACAUUUUGUAAUUGUUAUAUGAAAAACAUGCAGAAAGAAUAAUCUCUUAGAAAACUAAGUACCUAAGUACUGCACAAAUGAAAUUAUUAUUUGAUCACCUUUAAAAACAUGUGCAUGUUUCAGUUAAAUGGUGAUUAUUUUUCUUUUAUAAUUCAGCUUCUUACAUUCUGUCCCUAAUUUAUAAUUGUACUUUUUUAAGCAGAAUUUGUGACAGUUACCUUUAUAAGUUUCAACUCUGUGUUUCAUUUGUCACCUUCCUCAGUUGAGAAAUACUUGAAAUAUUGUGAGGUUUUUUAAAUCAGAAAGAUUGACUUCUGUGCCUUGCAAGACAGAGUGCAAGCUGUGUUCUGGUAGAUUUGGGUGCAGCUUCUUUUUUUCUCUCUCUCCCUUUAAUAUAUAUUAUUAACAACAGGAGUGGGCCUCUCCAGUUGUCUUUUAAACAGAAAAGAGGCUGAAAGAUGUGCCUUUGACAUGAUAGCAUGCCACAUGAUAUAAUAGCAUUACAGAACAACAAAUUGAAGUAUUGUUAAUUCUUAGGAGAUCUGUUAACUUCUUAAAUUAAAGUGUUAAAGUCAGCACUCUUACUUGAUUGCUCUUUGCAUUUUAUCACUGAACUGAAGAGGCACUGGUGAAGAUUCACAAGAGCCCUUUUAUGGCUUACCUUUGCCUUUGUCAUUUCCCAUUCACCCCAUGAAACUGCUGAGCUUUUUUUCAAACCCAGUGUGCUCUAUCGUCUCUUCCACCAUGGUAUGCACGCAGGUCACCUUGCUGAGUCUUUUGAUAGCAAAGGUUCAUAAUCAUCCACCUUCUGAAAAGGUUUUUGGUAGCUGGCUGAUCCUUCUCUGAAUACAGUAAGAGUACAAUAAUAGAUAUAAGCAAUACAGUGAUAGAAUACGUGAGUACACACUUUUUUCUGUUUUUUUUCCUAGUUUUUACGGAGCUGUAACCAGAAGCAACAGAAUUAUUUUGAUGAAUAGAUCUCUUCACAUGUGUUUUGUAUUAAUGCUGUAUAGUUUCUUCCCAAGAGGUCUGUGUAGUGUUAUUGACGCUUUAAAUAAGUACUACUUAUUGAAAGCUUUACAAAAUCUAAAGUAAAUUUAAGAUCAUUCUUUUUAGCUAGUAAUUCACCUUACUAAUGUAGGAACUAAAUUAGGUGUAUAAUCCAUACCUUAUAUAAUUUAACUAAAACAGAGCUUAUUUGGAGAUGGGAAUAGUGGUGAAUGGUAGUUUCUUUCCUCGUUUUUUUUUUUCUUUUCUCAUUACCACACUUUUGUGAUAGCAUGCAGAACUGUUUUGUGCCUUCUCUGAUAAAAUAUUCUGCUAUUCAGAAGGAUUACAAGGAAACUGUGGAAGAGGACAGAAAUGGUGUUACACAUAAUUUCAGCAGCCUCUCUAAUCAGGCAGUAAGCAACAGAAACUCACUGGUUGGAUAUGGUGGAUGCUUACAGCAAAAUUACUUGCAGGGUACUAGUCAUGUCAUGAGUUUCAAAAAGAAAAAGAAGAAACAGAUUCUAGAGCUUUAAUUCCUUCUGCAUGAAACAAAUUCUAGUUUGAAAAAUCAUUACGCUGUCUACCCUUUACAGUGUGGGUCAGCUUCUUUGUGGUUUUGUUUGGUGAGACCUCUCAUCACACUCAACAUGUACAAAGGAACGCACUGGAGUGCUUUUUGGUCACGUACUUUAAAGGAAAAUAUUCGGUGGUUCAGAAAUAAUAAGAGAUGAUACAGUUCUGAAUUCUUAUUGCAGCUGAGGUCUUAGUUGCAAUAAAGAAUAAAUCAGAUUCUUGUGAUGUCUGGUGGGUCUGGAGUUCCAUUUAUUAUUCUGACAUCCUCUGGCACCAAUUUGGGUGAUGUAGGUUGAUAAUGGGUUAUUCCUUCCCAUUGCCUGGGUCAUAAUCACAUGGCUUCAUUCAGCAAUAUGUAUGAUCAGUACUUCACAAAAUACGCAAUCCGAAAAAGUACUUUACAAAAAAUUGCAUAAAUUUUAUUAAAAUGGAUAAUGUGAGACAUUUCAUCUGCACUCCAUUAAAUAUUCAUCUAUCUGUACGUUGAGCUGCUCUGUUACCAAUUCACAUCUUCUGUAUGAGUGUUUAUUGAAUUGACCUUUUGCCACAUUUUACAAGAGAAUGGAAUGUUACAGCCUUUUUCGGAGUUGAGAGUGCUAGAACAGUCAUUAAUCAGAAAUGUUGCUAAAACUUAAAAUUCUUUACAUUCUAUACAUCAGAUUAUCCAAAGCUUUACUACUUGAACAAAGCUUUAUUUUUUUUUACCUUUUACUUAGAAAUCCUGCAGAGUAUAGCAAUAUAUACAUAUUCAUGUAUUAGUGGUAAAUUAAAUCUACUUUCUCCUGAAGAACAGUACCAAAAUAGCUGGAUUGGGGCACUGCUUAUUAGCAACAUUAUUGGUGGAAUUAGAACUUGAUCAACAAGAGGUGUGGCAGCGAAGGUAACAAGUCUGAGGUCAGGUUUGCUUCUGUAGAUUUACAACGUAGCUUCACAGCUUACAUCUCCAAAGUGAUUUUUCCAUGGUGUUCUGGCUCAGACUUUAAUCUUUCUUUUGCCAUACUUUCCUUUGUUUCACCCCAACACACACACACUGACUGUACCUUCACUUGUGUCAUGCUAGGUACAAGUCAAAUACGUAAAAUAGUUAACAUUCUUUGUUACUUCAAUAACCUUUUCAAUUUCUUGAAAAAGAAAGGCAGUUUUGUUUUCUUAAUCUCUAUUCCACAUAUGAUGAUGCAUGCAACUUGUGUGUACUUCUUUAAGGGAACACAGCAGGCGUGGAAGCCACUGGGAAUAGUUAGCUAUGGAAAAGGAGAAUUUAUGUAGAUGUAAUUGGCUUACUCUGAAGGUCAUAAUUAGCGAAAGAGGUUUGUGAUGAAAAUUUUGUCAACCUUUCAAAAAAUGUCUAGAGGCAGUUACUCACUGUACAUAGCAUUUACCUCUUUGACAUAUAAGCCCGUUAAGAACAGGUGCAAAAAUCUUUUUAAAAAGCUCCCGAGUCCUAUUUGUGAGAAAAGAUGAAGCAAGAGGUGAGCUGAGAAGGAAAUCCCCCUAGAAUACAUCUAAAGUAAGCAAAUGUAUUACAUUAAAAUAUUACAACAGUAGCAUGCUAUUUUGCAAGGCUUCUUCCCCCAAUUAUACUUGCUCCUAUUUUGGUUUUUUUGUUGAUGAUGAUUUUUUUGUUGUUAGUAGCAGUUUAUGAUCCUGUUCAGUGUUAUUCUCCGUGUAAAGGAUAUGCGGUUAUCUCAAAAGCAAGGUACUGGAAUUCCCUUAAGUUCCUAAAACUGAACUUGAAGUCAGCGAGGAUGCUUAUAAACCUCCAAGAUAAUUGUCUUUGGUAAAUAGAAUAAUAAAUAUUAAAGUAAACUAAUAUUAAAAUAAAGACAUUUCUAUAACUUCUCCAAGUAUUGCUUAAAAUUCUUUUCUUAUUUUGUAUUUUCAAUAAACCAGAAAAUAUAACACCCUUAUGAAAA